rnacentral:rRNA from 1 species
GGCGCACGGGUGCGUAACGCGUAUACAAUCUGCCUUAUACUGGGGUAUAGCCUUUAGAAAUGAAGAUUAAUCCCCCAUAGUCUCUUUUAAUGGCAUCAUUUUAAGAGUAAAGGUUACGGUAUAAGAUGAGUAUGCGUUCUAUUAGUUUGUUGGUGAGGUAAUGGCUCACCAAGGCUACGAUAGAUAGGGGCCCUGAGAGGGGGAUCCCCCACACUGGUACUGAGACACGGACCAGACUCCUACGGGAGGCAGCAGUGAGGAAUAUUGGACAAUGGAGGAAACUCUGAUCCAGCCAUGCCGCGUGCAGGAAGACUGCCCUAUGGGUUGUAAACUGCUUUUAUACAGGAAGAAACCGCUCUACGUGUAGAGCUCUGACGGUACUGUAAGAAUAAGGAUCGG